rnacentral:rRNA from 1 species
UACGUAGGGGCAAGCGUUGUCCGGAAUUAUUGGGCGUAAAGAGCUCGUAGGCGGCCUGUUACGUCUGCUGUGAAAGCCCGGGGCUUAACCCCGGGUCUGCAGUGGAUACGGGCAGGCUAGAGUUCGGCAGGGGAGACUGGAAUUCCUGGUGUAGCGGUGAAAUGCGCAGAUAUCAGGAGGAACACCGGUGGCGAAGGCGGGUCUCUGGGCCGAUACUGACGCUGAGGAGCGAAAGCGUGGGGAGCGGACAGG